CCCAUCUCCACUGCCUCCCAGCGACCAGUGGCUCACUCUUUGACAGGGGGCCCCUCAGAGUGUGGUCCAAGGAACAUCCAAUUCAUAAUCACCUGAGAGUCUGGUCAAGUAUGAAGAUUCUGGAUUUCUCCAACCAGAAUUUCUGGUAGAAGGGGAAACCUACAGGUGUAACAAGGGGCCCUCAGAUGGGGAAAGCCAAGGCUCACAGAGAUGAAGUGAUGUGCCCAAGCAGACAGCUUGCAGGACACGGAGCAUGAAUCCAAGUGCACAACUGUCUAAAUCUCAAUGUCGUGACGUGCUGACACCAGAGACUCAGGCUGGGACCACAGUGAACAGAAACAAGCAGGGGAGAACCGUGGAAAGGGGUCCAAUCGAGAGGCAGACAUUUCUGGUCUGAGCCUGCCCCACGCAUAUGGUGGCUGUGGGAUCUUCGGCAAGUGGCCUGUCUCUCCAAGACUCAGUUUCCUCAUGUGCAAAAUAUGGCCAAUCUACCCUGCCUCACUGAAAAGAAUGUGGAGCUGGGAUCUGAGACAUGACAAUCUCUGCUUGUUGCUUGGAAUAGAAGCUGUCAUCAGAUGGCCAAAGAAAGAGCUAAAGUUAGUCUGCAAAGAAAGGAAGAAGAAACUAGAUGGAGACAGAGGAGCCAAGAAAGCUUUGGGUUCCUGAUUCAUGGCAGGCCAAGUGCCAGCCUCCCAGGCCUAGAGACAGCACCAAGUGAGAAGAUGUGGGUGCUUUGCUUACUAUGGUGCUGGGUAUACAGCAGGGACUCAAUAAGAGUUAGCUGGGGGUAGAUUCAAAGGGCAGCCAUACAAAACUAAACAUACUCUAACCAUGUGAUCCAGCACUCAUGCUCCUUCCAAUUCAUCCAAAGGAGAUGAACACUUAGGUCCACACAAAAACCUGCACACAGAUGCUUAUAGCAGCUUUAUUCGUAACUGGAAUCAUGUGGAGUCAGCCAAGAUGUCCUUCAGCAGGCGAAUGGAAAAACAAACUGUAGUACAUCUGGACAAUGGACUAUUCCUCGGUGCUAAGAAGAAAUGAACUCUCAAGCCAUGAAAAGACAUGGUGGAACCUUAAAUGCAUCUUACUAAGUGAAAGAAACCAACCCGAAGAGGCUACGUUCCGUAUGAUUCCAACCACAGGACACUCUAGAAAAGGCCAAACUAUAGAGAGAGU